AACUUUACAUGCGGGAACCGCGAUAAGGGGACACCGAGUGCCAGCAUAUUAUGUUGGCUGUCCACAUGUGUAAACGGCAUGUGUUAGCAAGGGCCGGGCAAGACCGGUGCCAGCCGCCGCGGUAACACCGGCGGCCCGAGUGGUAAUCACUUUUAUUGGGUCUAAAGGGUCCGUAGCCUGUUUGAUCAGUUCUUCGGGAAAUCUGACAGCUUAACUGUUAGGCUUCCGGGGAAUACUGUCAGACUUGGGACCGGGAGAGGUAAGAGGUACUACAGGGGUAGGAGUGAAAUCUUGUAAUCCCUGUGGGACCACCAGUGGCGAAGGCGUCUUACCAGAACGGGUCCGACGGUGAGGGACGAAAGCUGGGGGCACGAACCGGAUUAGAUACCGGGGUAGUCCCAGCCGUAAACGAUGUUCGCUAGGUGUCAGGGACGGUGCGACCGUUUCUGGUGCCGCAGGGAAGCCGUGAAGCGAACCACCUGGGAAGUACGGCCGCAAGGCUGAAACUUAAAGGAAUUGGCGGGGGAGCACAAGCCGAAUUCCAGGCAA
rnacentral:rRNA from 1 species